rnacentral:rRNA from 1 species
UACGUAGGCAGCAAGCGUUGUUCGGAGUUACUGGGCGUAAAGAGUAUGUAGGUGGUCUGUUAAGUCAGACGUGAAAUCCCUCAGCUUAACUGGGGAACUGCGUCUGAGACUGAUGGACUUGAGGGCAGGAGAGGAACGCGGAAUUCCAGGUGUAGCGGUGAAAUGCGUAGAUAUCUGGAGGAACACCGGUGGCGAAGGCGGCGUUCUGGACUGUUUCUGACACUGUAAAACGAAAGCCAGGGGAGCAAACGGG